rnacentral:rRNA from 1 species
GACGAACGCUGGCGGCGUGCUUAACACAUGCAAGUCGAGCGGAGCGGCGAACGGGUGAGUAACGCGUGAGUAACUGCCCCCCUCUCUGGGAUAACAGUUGGACACGGCUGCUAAUACCGGCUAGUGGGGGAUGACUCGCGUCCUAUCAGCUUGUUGGUGGGGUAGUGGCCUACCAAGGCGACGACGGUUAGCCGGCCUGCGAGGGGGACCGGCCACAUUGGGCGGAGGUAGGGGCCAAACUGCAACGGGGGGCAGUAGUGGGGAAUAUUGCACCAUGGGGGAAACGCUGAGGAAGCAGCGCCGCGUGCGGGAUGACGGCGUUGGGGUUGUAAACCGCUUUCAGCCAUGACGCGGUAGUGGCAGAAGAAGCACCGGCUAACUACGUGCCAGCCGCCGCGGUAAUAC